rnacentral:tRNA from 1 species
GGAUGUAGCCAAGUGGAUCAAGGCAGUGGAUUGUGAAUCCACCAUGCGCGAA